GUAGGUGGCAAGCGUUGUCCGGAAUUAUUGGGCGUAAAGCGCGCGCAGGCGGUUCUUUAAGUCUGAUGUGAAAGCCCACGGCUCAACCGUGGAGGGUCAUUGGAAACUGGAGAACUUGAGUACAGAAGAGGAAAGCGGAAUUCCACGUGUAGCGGUGAAAUGCGUAGAGAUGUGGAGGAACACCAGUGGCGAAGGCGGCUUUCUGGUCUGUAACUGACGCUGAGGCGCGAAAGCGUGGGGAGCAAACAGGAUUAGAUACCCUGGUAGUCCACGCCGUAAACGAUGAGUGCUAAAUGUUAGGGGGUUUCCGCCCCCCUUAGUGCUGCAGCUAACGCAUUAAGCACUCCGCCUGGGAGUACGGCCGCAAGGCUG
rnacentral:rRNA from 1 species